GAUGAACGCUGGCGGCGUGCCUAAUACAUGCAAGUCGAGCGGUAAGGCUCCUACAGGUUAUUUGAUCAAGCCAGGUCUUUGGCGGUUCCGCAAGGAACCCCAAAAUCGUUUAACGAAAGAAGAACGACGAUCUGGCACAAGACAGACAGGCUAAGUUAGUCUGAUCGAGUAACAUGUUGGAGUACACGAGCGGCGGACGGCUGAGUAACACGUAGGAAUGUACCCCAAAGUGAGGGAUAAGCACCGGAAACGGUGUCUAAUACCACAUGUGAUCUUCGGAUUAAAGCUUCGGCGCUUUGGGAACAGCCUGCGCAUGAUUAGCUUGUUGGUGAGGUAAAAGCUCACCAAGGCGACGAUCAUUAGCUGGUCUGAGAGGAUGAUCAGCCAGACUGGGACUGAGAACGGCCCAGACUCCUACGGGAGGCAGC
rnacentral:rRNA from 1 species